rnacentral:rRNA from 1 species
AAACUUGAGAGUUUGAUCCUGGCUCAGAACGAACGCUGGCGGCAGGCUUAACACAUGCAAGUCGAGCGCCUCGCAAGAGGAGCGGCAGACGGGUGAGUAACGCGUGGGAAUCUACCCAUCUCUACGGAACAACUCCGGGAAACUGGAGCUAAUACCGUAUACGUCCUUCGGGAGAAAGAUUUAUCGGAGAUGGAUGAGCCCGCGUUGGAUUAGCUAGUUGGUGGGGUAAUGGCCUACCAAGGCGACGAUCCAUAGCUGGUCUGAGAGGAUGAUCAGCCACACUGGGACUGAGACACGGCCCAGACUCCUACGGGAGGCAGCAGUGGGGAAUAUUGGACAAUGCCUCGGUCCUGCCCGCCAACUCCCUCACGAUGCCGCGAUAGCGAAAAGGUGUCUUGCGCAACUGGUAGCGCAUCGCCCCAAGAGACGCCCACAGCACGCCCAAAGGCACCACUAUGGAGGCGGUAUCGAUCCAGAAACUUGGGGCGACAGCCACAUUCGAGAACGGAAGCCAGAUCAAGUCUACGGCCCCAAGCCCCAUGAGCAAGGCCACAAUCAGGACGAGAACCCGGCUCUUGUGAAAAAUCCGUCUGGAAUCGAACCGCGAAUAUGCAUUGGCGCCUAGCUGGGUCACGUCGCGUGCGCGAUCCGGCAGUGGUCUUGCGAACCGCUCCCCACCUCCCGCCUGCCCGGCUUCCGAUCGACUCAACACGAAAAAUUAGCCCCCGCUACAUUCGAAUUGUCUAAACUAAUCAUUAACCACGGGAGCGGGCAAGCGCCUGGGAACGAACCGCGAGCCAUUACUUACAACAUAGUUAAGCAAGCGGCGCCAAAAAUAUCGUUUUUAUUUACCCGAGGCUCCUCCUCGUCCAGCCUGACGGAACCUUGCGGAGCGCAACAUAUGGCGUUGUGCCGGAAACUCCCCGUAACCCCCUAGAUAUAAAGGGAUAUGCGGUAUUGCUAAUAUUUCAUGCCGCUAUAUAAGCUAGCGCUAAAUUGUGAACGAAUGGUUAAGAUCACUUGAAAAAUUAAUCGAAUCAAGGUCUUGUCAAAAUUAAAACCGACUGAAACCCCGCCCGAUCAGGUAUUCAAACGUAAACAAACACUUAAUCGCAUUUGACUCUGCUUUUUCGUGGGACCUAGGAUUGAGGUGACGGGGGAUGCUUGGGUAUGGGGUUCAUUCCUAGCUCUGUCUCGUCGGGUUCAAACCUCCAAAGGGAGAAAUUGACAUGAAGAAGCUCAUGACGAUGACCCGGCAGUUCCGCGACGACGAGAACGGCGCUGCAAUGGUCGAAUAUACAGUGCUGCUCGGCAUCAUCGUUCCCGGGCCUUGUACACACCGCCCGUCACACCAUGGGAGUUGGUUUUACCCGAAGGCGCUGUGCUAACCGCAAGGAGGCAGGCGACCACGGUAGGGUCAGCGACUGGGGUGAAGUCGUAACAAGGUAGCCGUAGGGGAACCUGCGGCUGGAUCACCUCCUUU